GACAAUAGAAGCUCCUCCUGACAAUAGUGUCGACAAUGUAUCAAAUUUACCGGUGGAGUGUUAUCACUACUACUACGGGAGCAAUUUGGACAUGGGAAGGCUUAUUGAGAUCAGAAGAGAAUGGGAUGCCUAUCUGAGUCCCGGAGGAAGCCGGAUUCCUGGACAUUGGGUACAGCCAUCACCACCAGCCGAUGAGAUUUGGGCUUCUUGUCUUGUUAAAAACUCCAAAGAGUGAUCUUAGUUAGUAGCCGGUCGUAUUCUAGGAGACAGGACAAUGUUAAUCUUAGCUAACUCGAGUUCCAUAAAUAUUGUUGCUUGAGAAAUCUUGAGUUAGUGUCGAUCCUGUUUUAAAACAUACAAACUCAUUGAUAACGAUUGUUAGUUUGAUGAAUGGAUUAUCUGAGACA